rnacentral:rRNA from 1 species
UGGGGAAUAUUGGACAAUGGGCGAAAGCCUGAUCCAGCCAUGCCGCGUGUGUGAAGAAGGUCUUCGGAUUGUAAAGCACUUUAAGUUGGGAGGAAGGGCAGUAAGUUAAUACCUUGCUGCUUUGACGUUACCGACAGAAUAAGCACCGGCUAACUCUGUGCCAGCAGCCGCGGAAAUACAGAGGGUGCAAGCGUUAAUCGGAAUUACUGGGCGUAAAGCGCGCGUAGGUGGUUUGUUAAGUUGGAUGUGAAAGCCCCGGGCUCAACCUGGGAACUGCAUCCAAAACUGGCAAGCUAGAGUACGGUAGAGGGUGGUGGAAUUUCCUGUGUAGCGGUGAAAUGCGUAGAUAUAGGAAGGAACACCAGUGGCGAAGGCGACCACCUGGACUGAUACUGACACUGAGGUGCGAAAGCGUGGGGAGCAAACA